rnacentral:lncRNA from 1 species
GAACUGUCUGUCUUUUCCAUCUGGGCUGCACUGAGCUAAGAUGGUCAGGGACAUACUGUAUGGACAAUACACAUGCCAGAUGUUGUAAAUCUGUGAGUAAAGGAGUUUAUCCCAGCUACAUACUCUGAGCACAUGUUAUGCUAUGGGCAGAGCAAUGGGUAUCCUAUGAGAGGACCUUUCUUAGAAUGUUGGUUGCCUAGCAACAAGAC